AGGUUAUAGAGGACAGGAGGUUUAAUAAUGGGUAGUUAUAGAGGACAGGAGGUUAUAGAGGACAGGAGGUUAUAGAGGACAGGGGGUUUAAUAAUGGGUAGUUAUAGAGGACAGGAGGUUUAGUAAUGGGCAGUUAUAGAGGACAGGAGGUUAUAGAGGACAGGAGGUUAUAGAGGACAGGAGGUUUAGUAAUGGGCAGUUAUGGGGGACAGGAGGUUUAGUAAUGGGCAGUUAUGGAGGACAGGAGGUUUAGUAAUGGGCAGUUAUGGGGGACAGGAGGUUAUAGAGGACAGGAGGUUAUAGAGGACAGGAGGUUUAGUAAUGGGCAGUUAUAGAGGACAGGAGGUUAUAGAGGACAGGAGGUUUAGUAAUGGGUAGUUAUGGAGGACAGGAGGUUUAGUAAUGGGUAGUUAUAGAGGACAGGAGGUUAUAGAGGACAGGAGGUUUAGUAAUGGGUAGUUAUGGAGGACAGGAGGUUUAGUAAUGGGUAGUUAUAGAGGACAGGAGGUUAUAGAGGACAGGAGGUUAUAGAGGACAGGAGGUUAUAGAGGACAGGAGGUUUAGUAAUGGGCAGUUAUAGAGGACAGGAGGUUAUAGAGGACAGGAGGUUUAAUAAUGGGCAGUUAUGGAGGACAGGAGGUUUAAUAAUGGGUAGUUAUAGAGGACAGGAGUUUUAAUAAUGGGUAGUUAUAGAGGACAGGAGGUUUAGUAAUGGGUAGUUAUAGAGGACAGGAGGUUAUAGAGGACAGGAGGUUUAGUAAUGGGCAGUUAUAGAGGAUAGGAGGUUAUAGAGGACAGGAGGUUAUAGAGGACAGGAGGUUUAGUAAUGGGCAGUUAUAGAGGACAGGAGGUUUAGUAAUGGGCAGUUAUGGAGGACAGGAGGUUAUAGAGGACAGGAGGUUUAGUAAUGGGCAGUUAUGGAGGACAGGUGGUUUAGUAAUGGGCAGUUAUGGAGGACAGGAGGUUUAGUAAUGGGCAGUUAUAGAGGACAGGAGGUUUAGUAAUGGGCAGUUAUAGAAGACAGGAGGUUUAGUAAUGGGUAGUUAUAGAGGACAGGAGGUUAUAGAGGACAGGAGGUUAUAGAGGACAGGAGGUUUAGUAAUGGGCAGUUAUGGAGGACAGGAGGUUUAAUAAUGGGCAGUUAUGGAGGACAGGAGGUUUAAUAAUGGGUAGUUAUAGAGGACAGGAGGUUUAAUAAUGGGCAGUUAUAGAGGACAGGAGGUUUAGUAAUGGGCAGUUAUAGAGGACAGGAGGUUUAGUAAUGGGCAGUAGUAUAUACAUCCCUGUGUCUCUGCCUAAACGUGCUGUGUAGGAGUAGAGCAGUUAUAGAGGACAGGAGGUUUAGUAAUGGGCAGUUAUAGAAGACAGGAGGUUUAGUAAUGGGCAGUAGUAUAUAUAUCCCUGUGUCUCUGCCUAAACGUGCUGUGUAGGAGUAGAGCAGUUAUAGAGGACAGGAGGUUUAGUAAUGGGCAGUUAUAGAGGACAGGAGGUUUAGUAAUGGGCAGUUAUAGAGGACAGGAGGUUUAGUAAUGGGCAGUUAUAGAGGACAGGAGGUUUAGUAAUGGGCAGUAGUAUAUAUAUCCCUGUGUCUCUGCCUAAACGUGCUGUGUAGGAGUAGAGCAGUUAUAGAGGACAGGAGGUUAUAGAGGACAAGAGGUUUAGUAAUGGGCAGUUAUGGAGGACAGGAGGUUUAGUAAUGGGCAGUUAUGGAGGACAGGAGGUUAUAGAGGACAGGAGGUUUAGUAAUGGGCAGUAGUAUAUAUAUCCCUGUGUUUCUGCCUAAACGUGCUGUGUAGGAGUAGAGCAGGGCUGCGAUGUACUCCUUUUUCUUUAUUUUAGGUAUGAUAGCGUUUAAUGUCUUUAACUACCAAUAUCUAUAUAUCAAGCUAUAGAAAUAUAGAUCUGUGUCAAAUGUUCAUUUACAGGAUGUCCUGUGAAACCAUGUGGUCAGUAUUGUAAACCAGCAGAGAGAGAGAGAGAGAGAGAGCAGAUCUAUGUGUUUUAAUCGUAGACAUACAAUCUCUAAAACGGGACCUAGAACCUCUAAAACCCGUGUGACAAUUUGACUGGUAGACUCCACGAUUUUACACUCCCGUAAUGACUGCCAGUACACCCCAUUAUGACAUCGUUGACUGGAAUGGGGAGGUGUGUUCUAUAGAUUCUAUGUUCUACGGUUGUAUUUCUAGGCUGCUGCUGCUGCUGAUGAUGAUCUUUGUGUCUCUCUGGACUGAUGGAAGGAGAACCUUCCUGCAUGAUCCGUUACUAUGAUUUAAACAAACUGUAGAAUAAUGAUUUCUUAGCAGUUAAACAGAGAGUUGGUCCAGUGUGUGUGCUUUUCUAUAAUAUAUCUCUAGUAUAGUAUGCAAUACAACUGCUUCUACAUGUGCCACAGUAUUUUACAGAAAAAUAUAUAUUCAAUAAAAUCUUAAAGAUUA